rnacentral:rRNA from 1 species
UACGUAGGGGGCAAGCGUUGUCCGGAUUUAUUGGGCGUAAAGGGUCCGCAGGCGGUUGGGGAAGUUUGACGUGACAGUUCCCGGCUCAACUGGGGAAGUGCGUUGGAAACUGCCCGACUUGAGGGCUUCAGAGGGAUGCGGAAUUCCGGGUGGAGUGGUGAAAUGCGUAGAUAUCCGGAGGAACACCAAAGGCGAAGGCAGCAUCCUGGGAAGCACCUGACGCUCAGGGACGAAAGCCAGGGGAG